GAUGAAGAACGCAGCGAAAUGCGAUACUUGGUGUGAAUUGCAGAAUCCCGUGAACCAUCGAGUCUUUGAACGCAAGUUGCGCCCGAAGCCAUUAGGCCGAGGGCACGCCUGCCUGGGCGUCACACGUCGUUGCCCCCCCAUCUACUCCUUCGGGAUUGCGGGGGGCGGAUGAUGGCCUCUCGUGCGCCUCGUCGCGCGGUUGGCCUAAAUGCCAAGUCCUCGGCGACGCACGCCACGACAAUCGGUGGUUGCGAAACCUCGGUUGCCUGUCGUGUGCGGUCGUCGCGCAUCGAGGGCUCGAAAAAAUUGCCGGGCUUCGGCUCGACUUUCAACGCGACCCCAGGUCAGGCGGGGUUGCCCGCUGAAUUUAAGCAUAUCAAUAAGCGGAGGA
rnacentral:misc_RNA from 1 species